rnacentral:rRNA from 1 species
UACGGAGGGUGCAAACGUUGCUCGGAAUCAUUGGGCGUAAAGCGCACGUAGGCGGCCUGUUAAGUCGGAUGUGAAAGCCCUCGGCUCAACCGAGGAAGUGCAUACGAAACUGGCAGGCUUGAAUAUGGAAGAGGGUCGCGGAAUUCCCGGUGUAGAGGUGAAAUUCGUAGAUAUCGGGAGGAACACCAGUGGCGAAGGCGGCGACCUGGGCCAAUAUUGACGCUGAGGUGCGAAAGCGUGGGGAGCAAACAGG